rnacentral:lncRNA from 1 species
CUCCAGCUACUUCUCUGCUCUCUGCAAGUGCCUUUGCCCACCUCCCUAAACUCUGAGGAGUUCUGAUUGAAUUAGGUUCAGCUGGAUUGAUCUGGUUGUGCCCCAAGGCAAAGGUGAGGCUGGAGUCCAAUGGAGGGACCCAGCUACAGCCCUGUCUCUCCCUGGCUUCCUCCCCGCUGUCCAAGCUGGAUGCUCCGAGCCCAGCGCCCCGCUGCUCACAAGAUAUUGCCUGGAUGAAUGUGGUCAUGUUCCUCAAACUUUCACAAACCUAAGCAGCUCUCUAAGAUGGUCAAGAUGGCUUCUGAGUAGAAGCAGAACUUGUCUUCUCCUCUCCACCAAUUGAGAAAGAGUGCCUCAAAACAACGAAACCCAA